UACGUAGGGUGCGAGCGUUAAUCGGAAUUACUGGGCGUAAAGCGUGCGCAGGCGGUUAUAUAAGACAGUUGUGAAAUCCCCGGGCUCAACCUGGGAAUUGCAUCUGUGACUGUAUAGCUAGAGUACGGUAGAGGGGGAUGGAAUUCCGCGUGUAGCAGUGAAAUGCGUAGAUAUGCGGAGGAACACCGAUGGCGAAGGCAAUCCCCUGGACCUGUACUGACGCUCAUGCACGAAAGCGUGGGGAGCAAACAG
rnacentral:rRNA from 1 species